CGGAAAUCUAUCUUAUAUUUUUUAUAGCUUUAUUUCCUAUGUAAUAUCAAUAAAUCCCAUCAUUUAGUCAUUCCGUGUAUGCUAUCAAUGUGGCCAUUGCAUCUCUACCUUUGUCAAUCAUGCCGUCAUAGAAUAUGCCUGAUAAAGAUGUGAAACUGCCAAUCUGCGAGAAAAAUAGUCAAUACAACAAGUCUCUUCAGUAGUUCUUGCAUUUCAAAUGCUUACAGGAUUUUUUAACAUACUGAAUCUCCAGGUUUCCGGAGAAGUUUCUUACAAUGGUUUGAAGCUAGACGAAUUUGUUCCUGCAAAGACAUCAGCUUAUAUCAGUCAAUAUGACCUUCAUAUACCUGAGAUGACUGUAAGGGAAACUCUGGACUUUUCAGCACGAUUUCAGGGCGUCGGAAGCAGAGCAGGUAC
rnacentral:lncRNA from 1 species